rnacentral:rRNA from 1 species
AUGGGGACUUUGCACAAGGCCACCUUCGUUCUCCUCAUGCUCUGCUUGUCAGCAUUGGGGAGAGCGGAAUAUCUCAAGUACAAGGACCCGAAGCAGCCCGUCGGCGCCCGCAUCAAGGAUCUGCUCGGACGGAUGACCCUCGCGGAGAAGAUCGGCCAGAUGACGCAGAUCGAGAGGAUAAACGCCACCGCGGAGGUGCUAUCAAAAUACUUCAUAGGUAGCAUCCUGAGUAGCGGCGGCAGCCCGCCUUUUCCCCGAGCGUCUGCUGAGGAUUGGGCUUCAAUGGUGGAUGAAAUGCAAAAGGCCGCCCUCUCUACCCGCCUAGGCAUUCCGAUGAUCUACGGCAUUGACGCUGUGCAUGGUCACAAUAACGUCUACAAAGCUACCAUCUUCCCUCAUAACGUUGGUCUCGGAGCUACCAGGGACCCUAUGCUGGUCAAGAGGAUAGGAGAAGCAACUGCUCUUGAAGUUAGAGCUACCGGGAUUCCAUACGUCUUUGCUCCAUGUAUUGCGGUAAUAGAUAAUACAUGUUUGUAG